GACAGCAGUAGCCACGGUAAGACGUAGGAUGCAAGCGUUGUCCGGAUUUAUUGGGCGUAAAGAGUUCGUAGGCGGUUUGUUAAGUCUGAUGUUAAAGAUCGGGGCUCAACCCUGGGAGUGCAUUGGAUACUGGCAGACUGGAGUGUGGUAGAGGCUAGUGGAAUUCCUAGUGUAGCGGUGAAAUGCGUAGAUAUUAGGAAGAACACCAGUGGCGUAGGCGACUAGCUGGGCCAUAACUGACGCUGAGGAACGAAAGCGUGGGGAGCAAACAGGAUUAGAUACCCGCGUAGUCCAUGUCUCUUAUAC
rnacentral:rRNA from 1 species